GUGAGUCAUCGAAUCUUUGAACGCACAUUGCGCCCGCUAGUAUUCUAGCGGGCAUGCCUGUUCGAGCGUCAUUUCAACCCUCAAGCACUGCUUGGUGUUGGGGCCCUACAGCUUCUGUAGGCCCUGAAAACUAGUGGCGGGCUCGCUAUAACUCCGAGCGUAGUAGUAAUAUCUCGCUUAGGACGUGAUGGCGGGAUCCGGCCGUUAAACCCCCCAAUUUUCUGAAGGUUGACCUCGGAUCAGGUAGGAAUACCCGCUGAACUUAAGCAUAUCAAUAAGCGGAGGA
rnacentral:misc_RNA from 1 species